ACUACCGAGAGGCAGAGGUGCGGCCCGGUGGUGCAGUUGCUGGAGCUCCACUGAAGCCUGGAGGCUAUCCUGGUCAGGGCCGGGCCACAGAUGCAACUCCUGGGUACACGGGCCAUUGUCCGAAGGCGAGUGCCGUGGUCGGGGCAACGUUCGCCUCGGCCAACCAGAAA
rnacentral:ribozyme from 1 species